UUUGAAGAAGCCAAAAUGAAAUAUAUUAACACAAACAGCCUCCUUAGCACAAGAUGUACCAAGGUAGACUAAAAAAGUUUACAAUAUAGUCAUAGAGAUACAAUCACAAUCAAAUCAAACAAGACCCAAACACAACCAUGGACUAGACCACCAGCUAUGGUAGUUCAAAGCUAACGUAAUACUCGUCGACUUCAACCACCUAAAUGAGAAUAACUUGAUCUUGUCCAACAAAAGAUGAGGUGUGCCUGUUGAGCCUUUGAAUAAGCGAUGAUUUCUCUCUGUCCAUAUCACCCAAACACACACUAGCCAAAGAAGCUGAAGAAAAGACCG
rnacentral:lncRNA from 1 species